UAGACUUCAGUAAUGUGACUGAAUAUCCCAGGGAGAUUUGGAGUCUUGCUAGCUAUUAGAUUUUACAUUUUAAUGAUAACUUUUUGAACUGGCUUAUCCAGCAACAAUGCCUGUAGGAUGGGAGCACAAAGGACCACAAGGGGGAUCAAUAUGACUAUCGUGGUGAAGCUUGAAGACAUACUCAUUGGUGUCCCUGGAUCAAACAAUGAUUUCCACUUUAAGUUGGUUCGAAAUCAAAUGAUUCCUGUCUCAUUUAUAUCGGUGCUUCUGCUCUUCAGACUUCAGGAUUCAGACUGAAUUAUAUCACUGACUUUCCUGGCUCUCGGGUUUGCAGGCAGCAGAUCAUGGG